GGAUAUGAGGGAGAUCUGUCUGCAACAUCUGUUACCCCAUUGUUCACCAGAGUUGAUUUGGCUGAUGUCCCCUUCCUCCCUCACCGCUCUAUGUGCGUCCCUCCUGAAGCUGCACGCUGGGUGGAAGAGGACGACCAUCCCCAACAGAGGAGGACUGUUCUUCAGUCAAACGUGAGCAGCUGCACUCCCCUGCUAGAACCUCCAAACAAGCUCUCAAAAACAGAUGAAUCAGUAAGUGUAAGGAUAACCUAGCAUGUGCAUUGUAUUAAGCAUUACAAGUAGUCUAGAAAUGAUUUAA
rnacentral:snRNA from 1 species